rnacentral:rRNA from 1 species
GCUGGGUAGCUAUGUUGGGAAAAGAUAACCGCUGAAAGCAUCUAAGUGGGAAACUUGCCUCAAGAUGAGAUUACCAUCCGGACAAUCCGGGAGAGGCCGCUGGUAGACUACCAGUUUGAUAGGUGGCGUGUGUAAGCGCAGCGAUGUGUUGAGCUAAGCCAUACUAAUGGCCGAAGGCUUAAUUUU